rnacentral:rRNA from 1 species
UACGGAGGGUGCAAGCGUUAUCCGGAUUCACUGGGUUUAAAGGGUGUGUAGGCGGGCCUUUAAGUCAGUGGUGAAAUCUCCAGGCUCAACCUGGAAACUGCCAUUGAUACUAUUGGUCUUGAAUUCUGUUGAGGUGGGCGGAAUAAGUCAUGUAGCGGUGAAAUGCAUAGAUAUGACUAAGAACACCAAUUGCGAAGGCAGCUCGCUAAACAGAUAUUGACGCUGAGGCACGAAAGCGUGGGGAUCAAACAGG